rnacentral:rRNA from 1 species
GUGGGGAAUAUUGCGCAAUGGGGGAAACCCUGACGCAGCGACACCGCGUGAGCGAAGAAGGCCUUAGGGUUGUAAAGCUCUGUUUUAAGGGACGAAUGUCGUGGGGAGUAAUAUGCUCUGCGAAUGACGGUACCUUAAGAGGAAGCCCCGGCUAACUACGUGCCAGCAGCCGCGGUAAGACGUAGGGGGCGAGCGUUGUCCGGAAUUACUGGGCGUAAAGAGCACGUAGGCGGGAACUUAAGUCAGGUGUGAAAGACCGGGGCUCAACUCCGGGGUUGCACUUGAAACUGGGUUUCUUGAGGGCAGGAGAGGAAAGCAGAAUUCCUGGUGUAGCGGUGAAAUGCGUAGAUAUCAGGAGGAACACCGAUGGCGAAGGCAGCCCCCUGGGCCUGUACUGACGCUCAUGCACGAAAGCGUGGGGAGCAAACAGGAUUAGAUACCCUAGUAGUCC